rnacentral:rRNA from 1 species
GACGAACGCUGGCGGCGUGCUUAACACAUGCAAGUCGAGCGGUAAGGCCCUUUCGGGGGUACACGAGCGGCGAACGGGUGAGUAACACGUGGGUGACCUGCCCUCAGCUCUGGGAUAAGCCUGGGAAACUGGGUCUAAUACUGGAUAUGACUCCACGGUGCAUGUCGUGGGGUGGAAAGCCUUGUGCGGCUGAGGAUGGGCCCGCGGCCUAUCAGCUUGUUGGUGGGGUGAUGGCCUACCAAGGCGACGACGGGUAGCCGGCCUGAGAGGGCGACCGGCCACACUGGGACUGAGACACGGCCCAGACUCCUACGGGAGGCAGCAGUGGGAAUCUUGCGCAAUGGGACGAAAGCCUGACGCAGCGACGCCGCGUGAGGGAUGACGGCCU